GUUAGCAAUGCCCAUGACAUUUCUGCUUUCAGUUUCUGAUGCUGCUGACAGCUGUGUUCCCUGUGGAGUAAACUGCUUGCCUGGUUACCUCACUCUGGACACUGGGAUCUUGACGGGGUGUUGAUCCUGAGAGCACUCCACAAUCAUCUUCCCACAGGAGAAUCCCCAUCUCCGAGGCCAUGUCCAAGGGAAGGACUGCAACCGUCUGUCUGGUCCCCCUUGUGCACAAGGAAGCACGAGACGUGUUUGUUUACUGCGGGAAAAUAAUUGAGAAACUGCUCAUCUUGAUUUGGAGUUCGUGAAACCAAAUACACUGCCAGUCUUAAGUGACCAGUAAGAAGAUCAUCUCACAAUGACAGUGACAGUCUUUGGCCAGAUGCCAAUUUAGGACUCGCUUUUAACAUUGGUGUCACCAAGCACCUCCUCUCAUGCUGUGGGUAGAAGGCUUUGAAUAGACUCUCAGCUUCUCCAUUACUCAUCAGGUUUCCCUUUGCUUUAUGGACAAACAGAAACACGUGGAAAAAAGGACUCGGACUGGCUCAAGAGUCAGAGUAAAGUGUGUUGGUGUCAGGCACUAACUCUCCUCUGUAAAUUUUACCCUUGGAGAUUCUCUAUCUUUCAGUUAGCUCAUGCAUCUCUCAAGGUAGCUACAUGUAUCUGGGGGUCUGAGUGUGAGAGAAGGACAUGACUUUUCAGAUAGUAAUGCUGGCUCCCAUAACAUGGCAAUUGCCAAAUGAAGGGGAAGCAGGACAGAAUCGUGUUGUUUCAUGGUUAGCGAGACAAAAUGUAGCUGUGAACUCAAGCUGAAGGUCUGCGUUCUGCAGCGAUAACCCCGACAAUGUGUGGAAACAGUGGGGAACCCUUCAGUUUGGGCAUGCCCUGCGAAGCUUCGGGACACACCUGGGGCUGUUUCCUAAGACCCAAGUGUCAUUCGUGGCUGAGUAAGGUAAACAAGCCCUGCAGAUAUGACAAGAGGAAUGACACCUUCUCACAUGUACUUAUCAAGGGCCAUCCAGAGAACCCAGCUGGGGGAAAGAGAAUUGGCAAAGAUGACCUUUAGGAAAAGUGACGCCUGUUAAAUUGCUAAUUAUUGACAGGGAUUCAUGAAGCAUGAGAAGACAGAAGAAUUAGACUUUCUUUUUAAUUUAAUUUAAUUUAAUUUACUUUUAAUUGAAGCAUAGAUGAUUUAGAAUGUUGCAUUAGUUUCUGGUAUACAGAAAAGUGAUUCAGUAAUAUAUAUAUUCUUUCUCAUAUUCUUUUCCAUUAUGGUUUACCACAAGAUACUGAAUACUGUUCCCUGUGCUACACAGUAGGUCCUUGUUGCCCAUCUAUUUUAUAUAUAGUGGUUUUUAAAAUUGAAGUAUAGUUAAUUUACAAUGUUACAUUAGUUUCAGG